CCAAUAGCGUAUAUUAAAGUUGUUGCAGUUAAAAAGCUCGUAGUUGAAUUUCGGGAUUGACGUGAUGGUCAUGCCUUAAGGGGUAUGAACUGUUACUGUUGAUUUCUCACCUUCUGGAGAAACUUGAUGUCCUUUAUUGGGUGUCUUGCGGAUCCAGGACCUUUACCUUGAAAAAAUUAGAGUGUUUAAAGCAGGCAUUUUUGCUCUAAUACAUUAGCAUGGAAUAAUAGAAUAGGACGGCAUGGUUCUAUUUUGUUGGUUUCUAGGAUCACCGUAAUGAUUAAUAGGGAUAGUUGGGGGCAUUAGUAUUCAAUUGUCAGAGGUGAAAUUCUUGGAUUUAUUGAAGACUAACUACUGCGAAAGCAUUUGCCAAGGAUGUUUUCAUUAAUCAAGAACGAAAGUUAGGGGAUCGAAGACGAUCAGAUACCGUCGUAGUCUUAACCAUAAACUAUGCCGACUAGGAAUCAGACGAUGUUAAUUUUUUAAUGACUCGUUUGGCACCUUACG
rnacentral:rRNA from 1 species